ACGUACACUCCUACGGGAGGCAGCAGUGGGGAAUAUUGGACAAUAGGCGCAAGCCUGAUCCAGCCAUGCCGCGUGAGUGAUGAAGGCCCUAGGGUUGUAAAGCUCUUUCACCGGUGAAGAUAAUGACGGUAACCGGAGAAGAAGCCCCGGCUAACUUCGUGCCAGCAGCCGCGGUAAUACGAAGGGGGCUAGCGUUGUUCGGAUUUACUGGGCGUAAAGCGCACGUAGGCGGACUAUUAAGUCAGGGGUGAAAUCCCGGGGCUCAACCCCGGAACUGCCUUUGAUACUGGUAGUCUUGAGUUCGAGAGAGGUGAGUGGAAUUCCGAGUGUAGAGGUGAAAUUCGUAGAUAUUCGGAGGAACACCAGUGGCGAAGGCGGCUCACUGGCUCGAUACUGACGCUGAGGUGCGAAAGCGUGGGGAGCAAACAGGAUUAGAAACCCGGGUAGUCCCAU
rnacentral:rRNA from 1 species